rnacentral:rRNA from 1 species
UGGGGAAUUUUGGACAAUGGGCGAAAGCCUGAUCCAGCAAUGCCGCGUGUGUGAAGAAGGCCUUCGGGUUGUAAAGCACUUUUGUCCGGAAAGAAAUCCUUGGCUCUAAUACAGUCGGGGGAUGACGGUACCGGAAGAAUAAGCACCGGCUAACUACGUGCCAGCAGCCGCGGUAAUACGUAGGGUGCAAGCGUUAACCGGAAUUACUGGGCGUAAAGCGUGCGCAGGCGGUUUGCUAAGACCGAUGUGAAAUCCCCGGGCUCAACCUGGGAACUGCAUUGGUGACUGGCAGGCUAGAGUAUGGCAGAGGGGGGUAGAAUUCCACGUGUAGCAGUGAAAUGCGUAGAGAUGUGGAGGAAUACCGAUGGCGAAGGCAGCCCCCUGGGCCAAUACUGACGCUCAUGCACGAAAGCGUGGGGAGCAAACAGGAUUAGAUACCCUGGUAGUCCACGCCCUAAAACGAUGUCAACUAGUUGUUGGGGAUUCAUUUCCUUAGUAACGUAGCUAACGCGUGAAGUUGACCGCCUGGGGAGUACGGUCGCAAGAUUAAAACUCAAAGGAAUUGACGGGGUCAUAGCUGUUUCCU